ACGCACGCUGGCGGCGUGCUUAACACAUGCAAGUCGAACGGAAAGGCCCUGCUUUUGUGGGGUGCUCGAGUGGCGAACGGGUGAGUAACACGUGAGUAACCUGCCCUUGACUUUGGGAUAACUUCAGGAAACUGGGGCUAAUACCGGAUAGGAGCUCCUGCUGCAUGGUGGGGGUUGGAAAGUUUCGGCGGUUGGGGAUGGACUCGCGGCUUAUCAGCUUGUUGGUGGGGUAGUGGCUUACCAAGGCUUUGACGGGUAGCCGGCCUGAGAGGAUGACCGGCCACAUUGGGACUGAGAUACGGCCCAGACUCCUACGGGAGGCAGCAGUGGGGAAUAUUGCACAAUGGGCGGAAGCCUGAUGCAGCAACGCCGCGUGCGGGAUGACGGCCUUCGGGUUGUAAACCGCUUUCGCCUGUGACGAAGCGUGAGUGACGGUAAUGGGUAAAGAAGCACCGGCUAACUACGUG
rnacentral:rRNA from 1 species